rnacentral:rRNA from 1 species
UAAUCUUUAAUUAAUAUAAUUCACUCCCGAAAAAAGUAGAUCUACACUGUUUAAUUUUGUUAGAAAAGCCCUUUAUGAUAAUGUUGCAUCAUUAUGAGAAUAAAGCAGUGUAGGGGUGAAACGCUUUCAAUUUUUUUGAUAUCUGGAUUAAACUUAAAUGAAUUUAGUUCAUUAAAUAACCAUAAAGUUAUAAGAUUUUAUGGGGGCAGAAUUUCAAAUUUUUUUUUCCCACUAGACGAAAUAAAUUUUUCAAGUUUUUUAAACCAUUUAGAAUAAUAUUAUUUUUGUUUUAGCUUAUCUGUUUAUUUUAUGUUUUAUGUUUAAGUAGAUUUGCCCGCUUAAAUUAAUAAUGUUUAAAUUAGUAAUUUAUUUAAAGUAAACUGAAGGAACUCGGCAAAUAUUUUGUUUUCAACUAGUUUAUCAAAAACAUAGCUUUAAGUUAAAGCUGUUUAAAGUUUAAUCUGCCCAGUGAUAAAAAUUUAACGGCCGCAGUACAUUGACUGUGCUAAGGUAGCAUAAUAAAUUGACUUUUAAUUGGAGUCGGGUAUGAAAGGAUAAUCGGAAACUACCUGUCUCGUUUGUUUAUUUAGACUAACUUACUUAAAAGGUGAAAAUUCCUUUGCUUAUAUAUGUUAGACGAGAAGACCCUAAGAAUUAUAAUUAAAAAUUUAAUAGGAAUUUUUUAAAAAUUUUUGUUGGGGCAACAAAUUCGGAGGUUUAAACCGGCUGAUAAAUAUUAUUUAACAUAAAAUGAUUUUUUAAAAUGGCAUUAAUUACCUUAGGGAUAACAGCAUAAUUAUACUUUAAUAGAUUGUGACCUCGAUGUUGGACUAAGGACUUUAUUAAAUAGCCUUUAAUGGAGAUAGUUCUGUUCGAACUUAAAAACCUUA